UGGCUUCAACGGGAUUAGAAGGAGGAGGAUUUUGGCAUGGCCCGUACAACUGCCAAGAUGGCGCCCCGCCGGAGUUGCUGUUCGUUCUAUCUCCCCAGGUGAGCUCUUCCUCUCGUUCCUUCCUCCCUAUUUUAGUUCCUCUUCCCAUAGAGAAGAAGGAGGCUCUGCCAAGCCAUGGACUUGCUGCCACCAACCCUCACCGGCCUCCUCCCUCCUCUCCCUACACCCUCGUGAGCUUUCCCUUUUUAUUUUGAUUUACUCUCGUGGUCACCUCCCUUUCAGUUUGUUGCCUGCCAACUGUUUGUUGUUAUGCCUGUGCAAGCUGCCUUUUCAUAUAUUUGUUGGUAUACCCAUGUAGGCCUGUAUACUCCUGGUGUUGAGGGUUUGUGUAGCUUCUAGGCCAAGAAGCUGAGAGGGGUUUUCUUCUUUGAGUCGCCGGAACCAAGCGACAACGUGCUGCAGACUUUCUGGUCUUCUAUACAAGAGAAAUCAAAUGAAUAUGUUUAGUUUCUAAACUUUUCUUCAUUUUUAAAUAGAACUGCUUACUUAGACGCUGAUAUAUUUCUUUACAUGAAUCGGCACUAUGCUCUUAUGCUUUUAGUUAUACAUAUAUUUUUUUUGUUGGUCAGGUUUUCAAGUUUCAACCAUUCUUACUUUGAAAUGAUUCUUUAGUUAGUUAUAAAUAUAGAAAAUUUGAUGCCUGGGAUACAUAUUUUUAAUGGUAUAUUGUGUCAGCUAAGGGAUCUCUUAUUUUUCUAGGUGUGCUACAUAGGUAUAUGUAGAUUUACUUUGUUCCAGUACCUGCUUUUGAUCACAGGAAACUAAAAAAAUAAAAGAUACUUCACAUGCAACAUCUUAUACUAUUUGAAGUUAUUUUGCAGACAUCGUUAGAUAUUUUUCUUCACUGUUCUGUUUAGCUAAAUAACCAAUUAAAUGAUUUAAUAUACAUUUUUGUUUUUUGAACUAGGUAAAGAAAGUACGUUGCACUUUCUUAUAGUCUAUUGGCUGGCACUAGAAUUUUGUUUGUCUUCUAGAGCGACAUAGAACAUGAUAUGCUUCUUUAACUGUACAUGUUGUCUAUAUUUUGCCUCUUUAACACCCUCUUUUUCUAUCGAUACUCAGAUAAUUCAGCUUCAAAAGCACCAAAAAUUUAUGUCAAUACAUGGGUGAGUGGAGAUACUGCAUCACUUCUUAUGUCUUGCCUGCGUUUGAAGUGUUGGAGUUCUUAAAUUCUUGAUGAAGAGGAUUUUGGAGGUACGUGCCGCCGGUGCUCGUGGCGCUUAAUUAACUGCAGCAGCAGAAUUUGGAUUAUUAAUGCAGAUGAACCCUCUGUUUCAGAAAGCUAUGGUUGGCUUCGGACUGGAAGGACAUGUCUAGCAGCGGCUAUUUAUCGGAGAGGCUAUCGUUCCUUUAUGGUCAUAAGACAGGCUUCUCUUUGGAAGUGGAAAUGGAAUCAGCACAUGAAGGCUUGCCCCUGACCUUGCAAGUGCCCCACGAAGCCGAGAGAAAAGUAAAAAGAGCCAAGGAGAGAUGCCACCGAUUCGCACGUGUUGGAGCAUUUCACGGAUGGCUUAACUAUGAAGUCCACAUUGUAGUGAUUUUCCCUUCAUGUAUUAUUGAAAAUUGACCUUAGUGAAUUGUAGCUUUGCAGAUGUGCUUACCAAAUCUGCAACAGGUAAUGAAUUUUACUUGGCAUAUAGAUUCUGCUUAUAGUAAGUAUUCUCCUCAUGAUUUUCUUAGUAUUUGACAUGAAGUUCAUGUUGAAAGAACUAAAGUGGUGAUUUUAAAUCCCUUCAAAAAGUGGUGAUUUUAAAGCAUAAGCUUUAAUUUUCAUCUGAUGCACUCAAACUGUGUUUGGUUCUCUACAUAGUUGUCAAAACAUAUGAGGGGGGUGGUUAUAUAUAUAAGAAAUUGAUAGCAUAGUUUAUAGUUUUUUGCUUCUAUUGUUUGUUCUUUUUAUUUGAGGUAAUCUCUCCCUUUCCUCUCCUUGUUUUGUCAUGCUAGGUCUCCUAGGUCAGAGCCACGGUGCAGGAGCUCAGGUUUCGGUGGAGAGAUGAUACAGUGAUGAGAAGAUGUGCCCAGCAGCUAGCUAUAGUGGAGAAUUGAUUCGUCCGAUCCCCCCACCCCUGGCCUUCUACAGAGAAGCUGAGACUCGUGUACGAAGUCGGUGCCCUACCGACAAAGGUGGUACAACUCUCACCAGAUGACCUCAGAGACGAGAGCACAAUAACAUACUGGAAGAUAUGACGCUAGAAGCACACAAAUAAGCUAACCUGGUGCAAGCUGUGAUUCCAUGACCCAUCCCCGCUGUGACCCUGUUCCUGGAAUUGGAAAGGUGUUUUUGAAGUAUGCAGAUGCCAAGAGCUCGGCCAGGGCAACAAUGGAUGCACAUGAGGAGAUUCGACAGGAAAAAGACGGUUGCCGUGUUCGCCGAUCGAGACUACGGCGAAUAGAUUAAAACAAAUGUUGCAUAUUUGUUCUUUUUAGACUUUGGAUACAUUUAGCAGUAAGUUUUCAUGAAAUGUACUUAAAUCUCAUGUUAUUCUAAUAGUGGUGCAUACAGGAUUGCAUUCCGAAGUUAUCAGAAUACAAAUCUUUAAAACCGAACCGCAGUGAGUUUAUGUAGAUUUUUUUUUUGCCUUGUGCGGUGGCGCGAGAUUAGGGAUCAGGAGGCAGUAGGCGUGUAGGACUGCAGGAAAGCGACUGACUCAUACAAGACAUAUGAUAUGUUGUGUUC